GCCGAAGGGGGCUAGCGUUGUUCGGAAUUACUGGGCGUAAAGCGCGUGUAGGCGGUUAUCCAAGUCGGAUGUGAAAGCCUUGAGCUCAACUCAAGAAAUGCAUUCGGUACUGGGUGACUAGAGGACCGGAGAGGAUAGUGGAAUUCCCAGUGUAGUGGUGAAAUACGUAGAGAUUGGGAAGAACACCAGUGGCGAAGGCGGCUAUCUGGACGGUUUCUGACGCUAAGACGCGAAAGCGUGGGGAGCAAACAGG
rnacentral:rRNA from 1 species